AUUGAACGCUGGCGGCAUGCUUUACACAUGCAAGUCGAACGGUAACAGGGAGCUUGCUCCGCUGACGAGUGGCGAACGGGUGAGUAAUGCGUCGGAACGUGCCGAGUAGUGGGGGAUAACGCAUCGAAAGGUGUGCUAAUACCGCAUACGUACUGAGGUAGAAAGUGGGGGACCUUCGGGCCUCACGCUAUUCGAGCGGCCGACGUCUGAUUAGCUAGUUGGUGAGGUAAAGGCUCACCAAGGCGACGAUCAGUAGCGGGUCUGAGAGGAUGAUCCGCCACACUGGGACUGAGACACGGCCCAGACUCCUACGGGAGGCAGCAGUGGGGAAUUUUGGACAAUGGGCGCAAGCCUGAUCCAGCCAUGCCGCGUGUCUGAAGAAGGCCUUCGGGUUGUAAAGGACUUUUGUCCGGGAGCAAAUGCCUGGUGUUAAUAGCAUCGGGAGCUGAGAGUACCGGAAGAAUAAGCACCGGCUAACUACGUGCCAGCAGCCGCAGUAAUAC
rnacentral:rRNA from 1 species